rnacentral:ncRNA from 1 species
AUGAGGUGCUGUCUACGAGUCGGGUUGUUUGGGAAUGCAGCCCUAAUCGGGCGGUAAAUUCCGUCCAAGGCUAAUUGCGGGCGAGAGACCGAUAGCGAACAAGUACCGCGAGGGAAAGAUGAAAAGGACUUUGAAAAGAG